CAAAGGAGCAAUCCGCUGAAAGAUGGGCUCGCGUCCGAUUAGGUAGUUGGCGGGGCAACGGCCCACCAAGCCGACGAUCGGUAGCCGGACUGAGAGGUUGAACGGCCACAUUGGGACUGAGACACGGCCCAGACUCCUACGGGAGGCAGCAGUGAGGGAUAUUGGUCAAUGGGGGAAACCCUGAACCAGCAACGCCCCGUGAGGGAAGACGGUUUUCGGAUUGUAAACCUCUGUCCUCUGUGAAGAUGAUGACGGUAGCAGAGGAGGAAGCUCCGGCUAACUACGUGCCAGCAGCCGCGGUAAUACGUAGGGAGCAAGCGUUGUCCGGAUUUACUGGGUGUAAAGGGUGCGUAGGCGGCUUUGCAAGUCAGAAGUGAAAUCCAUGGGCUUAACCCAUGAACUGCUUUUGAAACUGCAGAGCUUGAGUGGAGUAGAGGUAGGCGGAAUUCCCGGUGUAGCGGUGAAAUGCGUAGAGAUCGGGAGGAACACCAGUGGCGAAGGCGGCCUGCUGGGCUCUAACUGACGCUGAGGCACGAAAGCGUGGGUAGCAAACAGGAUUAGAUACCCUGGUAGUCCACGCUGUAAACGAUGAUUACUAGGUGUGGGUGGACUGACCCCAUCC
rnacentral:rRNA from 1 species